rnacentral:rRNA from 1 species
AGUGAACGCUGGCGGUAGGCCUAACACAUGCAAGUCGAACGGCAGCACAGUAAGAGCUUGCUCUUACGGGUGGCGAGUGGCGGACGGGUGAGGAAUACAUCGGAAUCUACUUUUUCGUGGGGGAUAACGUAGGGAAACUUACGCUAAUACCGCAUACGACCUACGGGUGAAAGCAGGGGAUCUUCGGACCUUGCGCGAUUGAAUGAGCCGAUGUCGGAUUAGCUAGUUGGCGGGGUAAAGGCCCACCAAGGCGACGAUCCGUAGCUGGUCUGAGAGGAUGGUCGGCGACACGAGAGCUGAGACACCGACCAGACUACUACGGGAGGCAGCAGUCGGGUAUAUGGGACAAUAGGCGCAAGCCUGAUCCAGCCAUACCGCGUGGGUGAAGAAGGCCUUCGGGUUGUAAAGACCUUUUGUCGGGAAAGAAAAGCAGCAGGUUAAUACCCCGCUGUUCUGACGGUACCCAAAGAAUAAGCACCGGCUAACUUCGUG